UACGAGGGGGGCGAACGUUGUUCGGAAUCACUGGGCUUAAAGGGCGCGUAGGCGGGCGAUCAAGUCCGGGGUGAAAUCUUUCGGCUCAACCGGAAAAGUGCCUUGGAUACUGCUUGUCUGGAGGGAGGUAGGGGCCCGUGGAACUUCCGGUGGAGCGGUGAAAUGCGUUGAUAUCGGAAGGAACGCCGGUGGCGAAAGCGACGGGCUGGAUCUCUACUGACGCUGAGGCGCGAAAGCCAGGGGAGCAAACGGG
rnacentral:rRNA from 1 species